GUAGUUAUAGCAUAUCAUUUGGAUGGAAGUGUUAUAAAUCUUGUGAAAAUAAGUAGUGUUCUUUUCGAAUAAUCUGCCCUAUCAUUUUCCUGUUGAGCUAUAAGCUGUAUUUCAGUGCUUCUUCUGGUUCUUAACCUUCUGAGUCAUUUUCCUGUUUUGAGCAAACUUGAAUAAUCUUUUCCGUAAUGAAUCUUAGUGGCCUUGCCUUCAAUUUAUGUAUUGAGUUUUGUUUAUCUAUAGAAACUUAUGAUUUUAUUGUAUUUAUCAUGAGUCAUGACAUUGGUCAUCUAGACACAAGUUAAUAGAGAAAUCAACAAUUUUACUAGAAUGACGAAUAUAUAGUUAACUAUUAUUGUAAGGAACAACAAAAAGGAGCUUUUUGAACUUUAUUUAGUAUAGUCAAAUCCUCUGUAAAAAUGCAAGUUAUGAUAUAUGGAUGCCUAGUUGUUUUGAAA
rnacentral:misc_RNA from 1 species